UACGAACCGUCCAAACGUUAUUCGGAAUCACUGGGCUUACAGAGUUCGUAGGCGGUCCCAUAAGUUAGGUGUGAAAUCCCUCGGCUCAACCGAGGAACUGCGCUUAAAACUGUGUGACUCGAGGGAGAUAGAGGAAAGCGGAACUGAUGGUGGAGCGGUGAAAUGCGUUGAUAUCAUCAGGAACACCGGUGGCGAAGGCGGCUUUCUGGGUCUUACCUGACGCUGAGGAACGAAAGCCAGGGGAGCGAACGGG
rnacentral:rRNA from 1 species